AAUGAACGCUGGCGGCAUGCCUAACACAUGCAAGUCGAGCGGGGACUUCGGUUUUAGCGGCGGACGGGUGAGUAACCGGGUGGGAUGUGCCCCUCUCUACGGAAUAGCCCUGGGAAACUGGCAGUAAUACCGUAUACGCCCUAUUGGGGAAAGAUUUAUCGGAGCAGGAUCAGCCCGCGUUUGAUUAGGUGGUUGGUGGGGUAAUGGCCUAUCAAGGCGACGAUCCAUAGCUGGUUUGAGAGGAUGCUCAGACACACUGGGGCUGAGACGCGGCCCAGACUCCUGCGGGAGGGAGGAGUGGGGAAUCUUAGAAUGUGGGGGCAACCCUGAGCGAGCCAUGCCGCGUGAGUAAUGAAGGCCGGAGGGUUGUAAAGCUCUUUCAGCUGAGAAGAUAAUGACGGUACCAGCAGAAGAAGCCCCGGCUAACUCCGUG
rnacentral:rRNA from 1 species